GAUGAACGCUGGCGGCGUGCCUAAUACAUGCAAGUCGAGCGAACAGACGAGGAGCUUGCUCCUCUGACGUUAGCGGCGGACGGGUGAGUAACACGUGGAUAACCUACCUAUAAGACUGGGAUAACUUCGGGAAACCGGAGCUAAUACCGGAUAAUAUAUUGAACCGCAUGGUUCAAUAGUGAAAGACGGUUUUGCUGUCACUUAUAGAUGGAUCCGCGCCGCAUUAGCUAGUUGGUAAGGUAACGGCUUACCAAGGCAACGAUGCGUAGCCGACCUGAGAGGGUGAUCGGCCACACUGGAACUGAGACGCGGUCCAGGCUCCUACGGGAGGCAGCAGUAGGGAAUCUUCCGCAAUGGGCGAAAGCCUGACGGAGCAACGCCGCGUGAGUGAUGAAGGUCUUCGGAUCGUAAAACUCUGUUAUUAGGGAAGAACAAAUGUGUAAGUAACUAUGCACGUCUUGACGGUACCUAAUCAGAAAGCCACGGCUAACUACGUG
rnacentral:rRNA from 1 species